GCUUUAUAGAUAAUUUAAAUUUUAGCUAAUUUAAAAAUAAAGGUUAAAUUUAAUUGUUCUAUUUUGUUGGGGUGAUAUGAGUAUAAAUAUUAUUAACUGCUUAAAAAAAAUUCUUUUAUUAGAGAGUUAUAAAUGUAUGAUCCUUUUUAAAGAUUAAAAGACUAAGUU
rnacentral:rRNA from 1 species